AGGCCUAACACAUGCAAGUCGAGCGGUAGAGAGAAGCUUGCUUCUCUUGAGAGCGGCGGACGGGUGAGUAAUGCCUAGGAAUCUGCCUGGUAGUGGGGGAUAACGUCCGGAAACGGACGCUAAUACCGCAUACGUCCUACGGGAGAAAGCAGGGGACCUUCGGGCCUUGCGCUAUCAGAUGAGCCUAGGUCGGAUUAGCUAGUUGGUGAGGUAAUGGCUCACCAAGGCGACGAUCCGUAACUGGUCUGAGAGGAUGAUCAGUCACACUGGAACUGAGACACGGUCCA
rnacentral:rRNA from 1 species